rnacentral:misc_RNA from 1 species
GAGAGAGAGGAAAGAAGGUGAAGAUGGGAAAAAGGAAAGAAGAACAUACCUGGGUUUGCUCUGUAGCGUUCUUUGCUCUUCUUUGGUGGAGAAGUCGAUUACUUUUAUGCUUUUUUUUAAAAAAAAAAUUGGAAUAAACCUAAUUCAAAUUGCAAAUAGAAAAAGAAAAAAAAAGAAUAAUAUCCAUUAGAGAAACUAUGGUGUCAUUUAAGGUAUGAUAUCCUUUGAAUUCAAGUAUACCUUGGGAAUAAAAUGCCAGGGGACAAUGAUGAUCGGUGGGAGCACUCAAAGCACUUAGACUUGUCUGCAGGAGGAAGAAAGACUUGUCCUGCAGGAGGAAGAAAGUGAGAGAAAAAAGAAAGGGCUAAAAGUGGAAACACAUCAUAAAGAUGGAAAAAGUAUACAAGGAAGGGGAGAAAAGGACAAAGGACCACUAUUCCUAAGCAGUAUUGCUUUCUUGCUUCAGCUUUUAUAUAUUACAUAGACACGGACAACUGAAAAUGUUGAGCAAAACUUUUAACUUCCAGUAUGCUGAAAAUGCCUAUGCCUAUCUAGUUAAAAAAAGAAAAAAGAAAAGCUUAUAUCUAUGUCUGUACUCUUUACUGCCCGUGCCACAUAUUUCCAUGCCCUCAAACCACAAGUCCAGUCGAUGACCCAGAAUUGCUGUGACCACCCAAAAGAUUUGAGCUAGUCAGCUCCUCAAGUUUGCCACCAUCUAAAAUGAAUACUCGUUUAGCCAUCAUAACUGUUUCCAACCGAUGAGCAAUCACAAGCACAGUAUGAUUUUCCAUUAAAUGCUGCACAGCUUGCCUCACUAAUAACUCAGACCUGCUAUCUAGAGCAGAAGUUGCCUCAUCCAAAAUCAGUAUGGAAGAAUCCUGAUAGAGUGCCCUUGCAAUAGCUACUCUUUGUUUUUGGCCACCGCUUAAACUUGACCCCCUUGGUCCAAUAUAUGUUUUGUACCCUUUGGGAAGCAUUCUAAUAAAUUCAUCAGCAUUUGCAAUUCUUGCUGCCGCCUCGACCUUCUCCGUGUCUAUUUCUGUCAUCAGAUCCCUGUAUCCAAUGUUUUCAGCAACCGUUCCAGAAAAAAGUGAUAUAUCUUGAGAAACCAAACCAACAUGCCUCCUCAAACUUUCCAACCGGAUGUUUUGGAUAUUUUGGUCAUCAACAAGUAUACAACCAGAUAAAGGAUCAUAAAGUCGAAGAAGCAAUUUAACAAGGGUUGUCUUUCCUCCUCCAGAUGGGCCAACCAGAGCUACUGUCUCUCCAGCUUUAAUAUGAAGGUUCAAUGAGUUCAAAACAAAAGGCCUAUUGUUACCAUACUUAAAUGAGAUAUCACAAAAUUUGAUAUCUCCUGUAACAUUGGCCAGAUCAACAGCAUCUGGUUUCUCAAUCACCUUAGAUUUAAAACUGAUCAAAUCAAACAACCGUUCAAUAGCUGGUUCCCCUUGCUUCCACUCAUUGUAUGCUUUUCCAACAUCCUGGAUUGGCUCAAUCAAGAAAACCAAAGAUGUUACAAAAGAAACCAUGCUACAGCCAUCAAAACAACCACGCGAAAUCACCAGUGAUCCACAACAAAGAGUAAAUAAUGCUCCAAAAUAAAUAAUCUGUAUGAUCUGGGGGAUAAGCGCCUUCAUUUUCUUCUUUUUAAGAUGUUCAGAUAGGUCAGCAUAAGCAAGCCUUUGAAACCUAGCACUCUCACAUAGCUCUGCAUUGUUUGCUUUCACAAAAACAAUGGCUGGGAGGACCUCAUUCAGGUGAGCUGAAAGAGUUGCAAUGCUAAGAUGUGCCUUCUUUGAUAUCUUACGAAGCCUUUCACCAAGAUAUGCAAUAACAAGAGCCAUACAUGGUAUUACCGUGGCUGAAAUCAGGGAUAGGACAGGGCUGAUAGCCCACAUCUGUGUUGCCAUAGCUGAUAACUGCAGAGCGCUAGGCACAGUGGUAUUGAGAAGCGCAUACAAAGUGUCAGCAACAUCCGCAGCUUCAGCAGUAAUUCUGUAAGCAAUAUCACCAGUUGAAACCCCACUCCCUCCCUCAAAAAACCCCAAUUCCCUAUGCAAAACCCUCUCGAAAGCAUGAACCCUGAUCUUAUAACCAGCAUUAAGCGCUGCCUCCCACAAAAGCGCAUGCUGCCAGUACGUGGCAAUCAGCUUGGCCAAUAAGAGAGCAGCGAGCACCAGCCCCUCAUUCCUGAGUGCAACGACAUCGACUUUCCCAAUGGUUGCGGAGAAUUUCCCAAACUUUGGGACGAGGUUGGUAAGGGAGAGAACAGAGACGAAGCUGCAUAGCCAGCCAAGAAGGAUGAGCUUGUGCUGGGAAAGAACAUAGGGUCUGAUUGUGGAAAGAGAGUGGAAUGUGUGGGAAAUUGGAUUCGGUUUGGGAUUUUGUUGGGUGAAAGGGAGGAGAGAGGGAAGGUUGGAGGAAUUGAGGGGUUUGAGUUGGGUGUUUGAAGGGAGUUUGAGAGUAGGGUUAUGGGUUCUGGAAAUGGGAGGAGAGGAAAGGGGCUUUGGUUUGAGGUGGAAGAGAGGAAGACGAGGGAAAGGAGUUUUCGGUUGAAUCUGAAGGGACAAUGCUUUCAUAUUGGAGUUGGAGCGAGAAGACACUAGACUCAAGAGGGAAAACGACGAUUGCGCUGUUAUACAGUUGAUCAAACGAAAUGUCGUUUCUCUCCUGUCGUCUCCUGUGAUUCCUUUGCCGUUUAAUCAAAAGACGAGUUCCAUUAUUUUAUUAUUAUUAUUAUUAU